UACGGGGGGGGCAAGCGUUGUUCGGAAUUACUGGGCGUAAAGGGCUCGUAGGUGGCCAACUAAGUCGGACGUGAAAUCCCUCAGCUUAACUGGGGAACUGCGUCCGAUACUGGAUGGCUUGAGUUUGGGAGAGGGAUGCGGAAUUCCAGGUGUAGCGGUGAAAUGCGUAGAUAUCUGGAGGAACACCGAUGGCGAAGGCAAUCCCCUGGGCCUGCACUGACGCUCAUGCACGAAAGCGUGGGGAGCAAACAGG
rnacentral:rRNA from 1 species